UUAAGCUACUAAGAGCUUACGGUGGAUGCCUAGGCGCCAAGUGCCGAUGAAGGACGUGGGACACUGCGAUAAGCCUCGGGGAGCCGUGUACAGGCGUUGAUCCGGGGAUCUCCGAAUGGGGAAACCCGCCGUUGCGAUCCAACGGCAUCUCCUGGCUGAACCCAUAGGCCAGGAGAGGGGAACCUGGGGAACUGAAACAUCUAAGUACCCAGAGGAAAAGAGACCAUUCCCCUAGUAGUGGCGAGCGAACGGGGAACAGCCCAAACCGCAGCGGCUUGCCGUUGCGGGGUUGUAGGGCCUGACACAUGGGAGUGACAAAUCAUUCUGUUAGCAGAAAGGUGUGGGAAAGCCUACCAGAGAGGGUAAUAGUCCCGUAUGCGAAAACGGAAUGACUCCCGUCAGGUACCUGAGUACUGCCGGGCACGCUAAUCCGGCAGGAAGCUGGGGAGUCCACUCUCCAAGGCUAAAUACACUUGGCGACCGAUAGUGAACAAGUACCGUGAGGGAAAGGUGAAAAGUACCCCGGUGAGGGGAGUGAAAUAGAACCUGAAACCGUAAGCUUACAAACAGUCGAAGGGCUAAUGGUGGGUCUGUGCUCCGGUGAAAGCCGGGUGCGCGCCACUAUGCCUGACGGCGUGCCUCUUGGAGAAUGAGCCUGCGAGUUAAUCUCUGUGGCAAGGUUAAGGGAGUGACACCCGUAGCCGUAGCGAAAGCGAGUCUGAAUAGGGCGUAUAGUCGCAGGGAUUAGACACGAAACCGAGUGAGCUACCCAUGGCCAGGGUGAAGCGAGUCUAACCACUCGUGGAGGCCCGAACCCACUAAUGUUGCAAAAUUAGGGGAUGAGCUGUGGGUAGAGGUGAUAUGCCAAACGAACUCGGAGAUAGCUUGUUCUCCCCGAAAUAGCUUUAGGGCUAGCGUCAUGCGUUCAGUAUCGGAGGUAGAGCACUGGAUGGGCUAGGGGGCUUACUGCUUACCGAACCCAACCAAACUCCGAAUGCCGAUACUCCACAGCAUGGCAGUCGGACUACGGGAGAUGAGUUUCGUGGUCGAAAGGGAAACAGCCCAGACCAUCGGCUAAGGUCCCCAAGUCCAGACUAAGUGGGAAACGAGGUGGGAUUGCACGGACAACCAGGAGGUUGGCUUAGAAGCAGCCAUCCUUUAAAGAGUGCGUAAUAGCUCACUGGUCAAGUGAUCCUGCGCGGAAAACUCAACGGGGCUAAGUCUGGCACCGAAGCCAUGGGUCUCAGUCUUUGACUGGGGCGGUAGGGGAGCGUUCUGCCGACGGGGAAGGUCGACCGAAAGGACGGCUCGAGUUGGCAGAAGUGAGAAUGCAGGCAUGAGUAGCGUAAAACACGUGAGAACCGUGUUCGCCGUAAGUCUAAGGUUUCCGACGCCAGGUCAAUCCGCGUCGGGUUAGUCGGGCCUUAGCCGAGGCCGAAAGGCGUAGGUGAUGGACAUCCGGUCAACAUUCCGGAACCAUCUGGAUGGAGCGAUGUGGGGACGCAGCGAGGUAGACCAGCCCACGAUUGGUCGUGUGGGUGUAAGCGUGUAGGCGUUGAGGCUUGUAGGGAAAUCCGCAAGCCGAGCUGAGGCGCAAAUGCGAGCCCCUGAGGCGGAAGUGGUUAAGCCUUGCUGCCGAGAAAAGCCACUAAGCGUUGAAGUCCAGAUGCCCGUACCGCAAACCGACACUGGUAGACGGGUAGAAUAUACCAAGGCGAACGGGAGAACCUUCGUCAAGGAACUAGGCAAAUUAGCCCCGUAACUUCGGGAGAAGGGGUGCCUCUCUUUGUGAAACCUCUCGCAGGUGGAGCAGAGGGGGGCCGCAGUGAAUGGGCUCUAGUGACUGGUUAACAAAACCACAGGUCUCUGCAAAGCCGUAAGGCGAUGUAUAGGGGCUGACACCUGCCCAGUGCCGGAAGGUUAAGGGGAGGGGUUAGCGCAAGCGAAGCUCUGAACCGAAGCCCCGGUGAACGGCGGCCGUAACUAUAACGGUCCUAAGGUAGCGAAAUUCCUUGUCGGGUAAGUGAUCAACUUGCCCCAUCAUCCCGUGAGGGAUGAUCGAAAGCCGGCUCAUAUCGGAGAAACCUGCCGCCCGGCGGGCGGGUCUGCAGGUAACUCCGAGGGAAGUCGCCCAUCCUAUUGGGUUGACCCCGUAACGACUGACCCGAAAGGGGAGGCGCACUGCUCUCCGGUGCGCAAUACGCCGGCUCUCACCCACAGCAAUGUGUACGGGGCUACUAUGGAGACAUCCUUUGAGAAAGGAGAGCUUGUGAAACUUCAUCCGUGGUAUGUCACGGGAAUCGUGGAAGGAGAAGGUUCUUUCAUGGUCAGUUUCAACCGCCGCCAGAAAUUGAAGGUCGGCAUCGAAACCAGACCGGCUUUCUCUCUUUCACUGAACCAACGUGACCUCAACCUCUUGAAGGAUAUUCAAGCAUUUUUUCACUGCGGCGCUAUUCGAUAUAGCAAAGCAGACCGCACGUACAAGUACGAAGUGCGCAGUGUGGCAGAUUUAGCCAAAAAAAUCCUGCCUCAUUUUCAGAAGUACCCCCUGGCUGGAGCCAAAGGCCAGGACUUCGAAAAGUUCGCCGAAAUCGUCCGUCUGGUUCAUGCCAGGCAACAUCUCAACGGUGAGGUGCUAAAACAGAUUAUCCAUCUGGCUUACAGCAUGAACCUGAGCGGGAAACGACGAAUAGCAAAGGAUGAACUCCUAAGGUGGCUCGGUGAGAUGAAGGUAUAGUCUGCGCUCUAUGGCAACAUAGAGGAAAAGCGAAGUUCCGACCCGCACGAACGGUGUAACAACUAGAGCACUGUCUCGACGAAGGACCCGGUGAAAUUGAAAUGGCUGUGAAGAUGCGGCCUACCCGCAGCAGGACAAAAAGACCCCGUGGAGCUUUACUGCAGCUUGGCAUUGAGUUUGGGCUCGGUCUGUGUAGGAUAGGUGGGAGGCUUUGAAGCUGGGGCGCCAGCCUCGGUGGAGCCGUCGGUGAAAUACCACCCUGAUCGUGUCUAGACCCUAACCCCACGCCGUAAUCCGGGUGGGGGACCGUGCCAGGUGGGCAGUUUGACUGGGGCGGUCGCCUCCUAAAAGGUAACGGAGGCGCCCAAAGGUUCCCUCAGGCUGAAUGGAAACCAGCCGGAGAGUGCAAAGGCAUAAGGGAGCUUGACUGCAAGACCAACGCGUCGAGCAGAGACGAAAGUCGGGCUUAGUGAUCCCACAGUACCGAGUGGAAGGGCUGUGGCUUACCGGAUAAAAGCUACCCCGGGGAUAACAGGCUGGUGAGGUCCAAGAGUUCACAUCGACGACCUCGCUCGGCACCUCGAUGUCGGCUCAUCGCAUCCUGGGGCUUGGACAAGGUCCCAAGGGUCGGGCUGUUCGCCCGUUAAAGCGGUACGCGAGCUGGGUUCAGACCGUCGUGAGACAGGUCGGUCUCUAUCCGCUGUGGGCGUAAGGGAUUUGAGAGGAGCUGCCCCUAGUACGAGAGGACCGGGGUGGACAGACCUCUGGUGUGCCAGCUGUCGUGCCAACGGCAUCGCUGGGUAGCUAUGUCUGGCAGAGAUAACCGCUGAAAGCAUCUAAGUGGGAAACUCGCCUCAAGAUGAGAUCCCUCACGACGUCAAGUCGGUAAGACCGCAGGAAGACUACCUGCUUGAUAGGCGGCAAGUGUAAGCACAGUAAUGUGUUGAGCUAAGCCGUACUAAUGGUCGAGGGCUUUCCCGU
rnacentral:rRNA from 1 species